UACGGUGGGAGCAAGCGUUGUUCGGAUUUACUGGGCGUAAAGGGCGCGUAGGCGGUCAGCACAAGUCAGUUGUGAAAUCUCCGGGCUUAACUCGGAAAGGUCAACUGAUACUGUGCGACUAGAGUGCGGAAGGGGCAACUGGAAUUCUUGGUGUAGCGGUGAAAUGCGUAGAUAUCAAGAGGAACACCUGCGGCGAAGGCGGGUUGCUGGGCCGACACUGACGCUGAGGCGCGAAAGCCAGGGGAGCGAACGGG
rnacentral:rRNA from 1 species